rnacentral:rRNA from 1 species
ACGCAUUCACAAGCCUAUCCUUGACCGAGAGGUCUGGGUAAUCUUUGAAACUGCGUCGUGAUGGGGAUAGAUUAUUGCAAUUAUUAGUCUUCAACGAGGAAUGCCUAGUAAGCGCCAGUCAUCAGCUGGCGUUGAUUACGUCCCUGCCCUUUGUACACACCGCCCGUCGCUCCUACCGAUUGGGUGUGCUGGUGAAGUGUUCGGAUUGGCAGAGCGGGUGGCAACACUUGCUUUUGCCGAGAAGUUCAUUAAACCCUCCCACCUAGAGGAAGGAGAAGUCGUAACAAGGUUUCCGUAGGUGAACCUGCGGAAGGAUCAUUGAAUUAUCAAAACCACACUGUGAACCUGUUUGUCCCACGCCUUUGUGCAGCGCGGUGCCUAGCACUGGCGGGCCUUGGGUUCGUCCCUUCACGGGGGCUUUCCUGGGGUUAUCUGCGCAAUUGCGUGUCUUCCCACACCCAGUGUAACCACUGAGUUGUGCCAAGCAAUUGGCAUAGCCAAACCAAACCCUGAAGAAAAGAUUGCCAUACUCUGGCAGUCAAAAACGAAAACAACUCUCAACAACGGAUAUCUUGGCUCUCGCAACGAUGAAGAACGCAGCGAAAUGCGAUACGUAGUGUGAAUUGCAGAAUUCCGUGAACCAUCGAAUCUUUGAACGCAUAUUGCGCUCGAGUCUUCGGACAAGAGCAUGUCUGCCUCAGCGUCGGUUUACACCCUCACACCCCUAUCAUUUAUGGUAGUGCCAAGCCCAAGUGGUUUGCGGGUGUGGAAUUGGCUUCCCCAAUCGGCCUUGCUGCUGAUUGGGUUGGCUGAAGUGUAGAGGCUUAAGCAAGGACCCGUUAUGGGCAUCAACUGGAUAGGUAGUGUCGGCCUCCCGGUCGUCUACACGAAGUUGUUGCUUGUGGACUUUGCUAGGGGCCAGCAGGAAACACGCUUUGCGUGACCUAAACUUUCGACCCUGAGCUCAGGCAAGACACCC